rnacentral:rRNA from 1 species
GGAGUUAGCCGGUGCUUCUUCUGUGAGUGAUGUCCUUCCUGCCGGCUAUUAACCCGCAGGCCUUCUUCCUCACUGAAAGUGCUUUACAACCCGAAGGCCUUCUUCACACACGCGGCAUGGCUGGAUCAGGGUUGCCCCCAUUGUCCAAUAUUCCCCACUGCUGCCUCCCGUAGGAGUCUGGGCCGUGUCUCAGUCCCAGUGUGGCUGAUCAUCCUCUCAGACCAGCUACGGAUCGUCGCCUUGGUGAGCCGUUACCUCACCAACCAGCUAAUCCGACAUAGGCUCAUCCGAUAGCGCGAGGCCCGAAGGUCCCCCGCUUUCCCCCGUAGGGACGUAUGCGGUAUUAGCCUGGGGUUUCCCCCAGGGUUAUCCCCCACUACCGGGCAGAUUCCUAUGCAUUACUCACCCGUCCGCCGCUCGCCACCAGGGAGCAAGCUCCCCGUGCUGCCGCUCGACUUGCAUGUGUUAGGCCUGCCGCCAGCGUUCAAUCUGAGCCAUGAUCAAACUCUGA